rnacentral:lncRNA from 1 species
GAUUGUGAGUGAUCAUCUCCCAUGCUCAGAAGCUCGGUCUCAGGCUUUGGUGUUUGGCAGAAAUCAGUGAUUUUUCAGAACGUUGGAAGGUGCCCGCCAUGGGCACCAGUGUAUUUUUUUUUUUGUCACUUCAAAGCACCUAUGGACAGUCCUUUGCUUUUCCAUACAAGAGUAAGCUUAGGAAUGCUUUGCUUCAUUCUAGAUCAGGCUGCCUGCAGAUAUAGACCACCCUAUUGCCUCUGCUGCCUUAUUGCCAGUUAUAUUAAAUAAAGUAUAUAACAAGAGUUUGUUAAUACGGUACUGUAGUUAACAUCCGUGUGAGUGUGUACAGUGGCCUCCAUGCAGAAAAAGAUUCCAUUGAGCCAAUAAUUAGCAGUGAUUCUGUUAGUGAUAGAGCAAGUCGCCCUACACAAUAACCCUCCUCGCUUUGGUCUCCCUCACACCAACCAUGAAGGUUUUCAAAGGUGAAGAAACUAGGAAACCACAAAGAGCAGUGAUGUUUGCAGGGCUGAAGCACACUGAGGAUUCUUCCCAUCCAGGGACCAAAGUGUCUGAUACGAUGGAUGGACUGGUUUCCUGGAUUGCCAAAGGAUCCUUUGGAGAUGCGAGGACUCCCUGUGCCUUGGAUCUACCUCUCCCUGAACAUCAUACAGUCAUUGACUCUGAAAUCUUGCUCCCUUACCAUAGAGCUGCCACCAAAUAGUUUGGGAGCCUUCCCUGUAGUGGGAUGCCCUCAGCAGCACUUGCCUCAUCUUAUUACAGCAAAGAGCCACUUGGUCCCUGUUUCGCUCAAAAGAACUAUCUCCUUGAGAAGUAUCAAUCUCUUCAUUGAACAUAGGCUUUUACAACAGUAGGAAUGUGUAUUGACUAUGAAGUGUUUCCUCUUCCAUCUUGAAAAAAAAAGAGCAAGAUAAGAAUAAUUUAAAUGUUUAUUUUUAUUUUUGAGAGAGAAGGGAGAGGAAGAGUGCAAGUGGGGGAGAGGGGCAGAGAGAGAAUCUUAAGCAUGUUCCAUACUCAAUACAGAGCCUGACACUGGGUUGGAUCCUACGACCCUGGGAUCAUGACCUGAGCCGAAAUCAAGAGUCAGAUGCUUAACCAACUGAGCCACCCAGGCACCCCAAGAAUAAUUUGAAAAUAGGAACCUGCUUUCCCGGGCACCUGGGUGGCUCAGUUAAGCAUCUGACUCUUGAUUUCCUCUCAGGUCAUAAUUGGAUGGUCAUGAGAGCGAGGCCUGCUUUGGCUCUAUACUGGGCUUGGAAGCUACUUAAGAUUCUCUCUCUCUUCCUCAGCCAUUCCCUGCACGCACAUGUCUCUCUCUCUCAAGAAAAAAAUAAAUAAAUAAAACUUUAUUUAUUUUUAUAAAUA